rnacentral:rRNA from 1 species
GAUGAACGCUGGCGGCGUGCCUAAUACAUGCAAGUCGAGCGAACAGACGAUGAUCUUGUUCCUCUGACGUUAGCGGCGGACGGGUGAGUAACACGUGUAUACCCUACCUAUAAGUCUGGGAUAACUUCGGGAAACCGGCUCUAAUACCGGAGAAGAUAUUGAAGCGCGUUGUUCAAUAGUGAAAUACGGUUGUUGUGUCACUUAUAGAUGGAUCUGGGCCGCAUUAGCUAGUUGUUGAGGUAACGGCUUUUCAAGGCAACGAUGCGUAGCCGACGUGAGAGGCUGGUCGGCCACCCUGGAGCGGGAACAGGGUCCAGAGUACUACGGGAGGGCGCAGUAGGGAAUGUGACGCAACAGGGGAAAGCCUGACGGAGCAACGCCACGCGAGAGAUGAAGGUCUUGCGAUCGUAAAAAUCUGUUAUGAGGGAAGAACAAAUGUGUAAGGAAAUAUGCACGGCUUGACGGUAACUAAUAAGAAAGCAACGGCUAACUACGUG